rnacentral:rRNA from 1 species
GUGCCAGCCGCUGCGGUAAUACGGAGGGUGCAAGCGUUAAUCGGAAUUACUGGGCGUAAAGCGCACGCAGGCGGUCUGUCAAGUCGGAUGUGAAAUCCCCGGGCUCAACCUGGGAACUGCAUUCGAAACUGGCAGACUGGAGUCUUGUAGGAGGGGUAGAAUUCCAGGUGUAGCGGUGAAAUGCGUAGAGAUCUGGAGGAAUACCGGUGG